AGCAGCCCUGUGAAGUGAUGUAAGCUCACUCACCUCAUUGUCCUGAUGAUUAAUUUUGCUAAGAUUUGACUGCUGCAGAAGCACAUUCAGAAGCCU